GAAGGGUUAAAUUGGUUGGUUGAAAGAACAAAAAGUCAAAGUUGAAAUAGACAAAAUUGGGUUCAGAUAUAAAUAAUCAGAU
rnacentral:tRNA from 1 species